GGUUCCACAGUUCUCUUCCGUGACCCACGGCUUCUAAUAGAGCUAUAACACUUACCACAUGGCCCAAGAUUCCAUUCCUUGGAAUCUGUGAGGCCAAGAACCCCAGGUCAAAGAACACAAGGCUUGCCACCAUCUUGGAAACAGCCGGUGGCCAUUUUGGAAGCGGCCUGCCACCAUCUUGGGAGCUCUGGGAGGAAGAACCCCCUGGUAACACAAUCACUGAACAGCCCUUUGCUUCUGGCUCCCAACUUUCUGAAACACUCUGGGGAAGAUGGUUCUUCACCAAUCCUGCAAUCCAACAGCCACCCAGUAAAAUGAGGAACUGACAUUCUUCCCAGCCCUGUGAGCUAGACAAGUAGCUAGUGUCUCUUCUACAGAACCACUUGAAAAAAAGACAGCUAUUUAAAAAUCUGUGACACUCAAAAAAGCCUUCCAACAUAUGAAUGCCAGCUCUCUUUGUCUUUAAUCCUCUAUUUUUCUUACUGUUGCCAGGAGAUUGGAAGAAGCCAGCAGGCAAUGUAGUCAUUUGGUAAUGUUCUUCCUACUGCCAAGAUGGAUUAAUGCUGGGAGACCUUACAACGGGGCACAAACAGCUUUUAUGCAAGUUAUCUCUCAGGACAGGUGUGAGGGCUCUCCGCAAAGAAAGACUGAUCGCAUCCAAGGUCCUUUAUCCCUGAGAGGGCUUCCCAGGGAUGAGCAACCUGUUCUUCCACAGGGCUGCCAGACGCCCACAGUUUUCCCUGCUGUCUCUCAUCACAGCGGCGGUGGGGCGCGCUCGCCUCCAGCCUGGCUCCGGACGCGGGGUCCCGCCACCCCCAGCAGCGGUCGCAGAGAGCCUCCCUGUUACCCCUAAAGCUGCGGAUUGUAGUAUUCUAGCAAUGGAUGAAAUCCUUUAACCGACUGUAAUAAAAAUAAGAUUGUGAAUAACAUGUGAUUAUAGUAUAGAUCUCCAUAAAACUGGCGGCUGUGAAACCCAUACUUUAAGAAGCAUGGCCUCCCUCUCGAAGCGGCUUCCAGUGACGGUCCAGGAUCUAAUUCACCCUUUUUGGAUCUAAUUCACCCUUUUUGGCUCGGGUACUGGAACAGGUCUCGGC
rnacentral:lncRNA from 1 species